rnacentral:rRNA from 1 species
UUGACGCGUAGAAGACCCCGAAAGGGGGAUUCUGUCACACCCUUUGUCAACUUAAACUAUCGUUGCCUCGGCGUAAGGCCGGGGGAGGUCACACUCCCCCCCGCCCCCUCUGAGGGGGCGGAGCAGGCCCGCCGGCGGCCCUAUAAACUCUUGUUUUUACAGUGUCACCUCUGAGUAUAAACACAAAUGAAUCAAAACUUUCAACAACGGAUCUCUUGGUUCUGGCAUCGAUGAAGAACGCAGCGAAAUGCGAUAAGUAAUGUGAAUUGCAGAAUUCAGUGAAUCAUCGAAUCUUUGAACGCACAUUGCGCCCGGUGGUAUUCCACCGGGCAUGCCUGUUCGAGCGUCAUUACAACCCUCAAGCUCUGCUUGGUGUUGGGGCGCUGCCUCCCUCUAGCGGUGGCAGGCCCCUAAAUCUAGUGGCGAGCUCGCCAGGACUCCGAGCGCAGUAGUUUUACCACCUCGCUUAGGAAGGACUGGCGGUGCCCUGCCGUAAAACCCCCCACUAUAUAUAAAAGGUUGACCUCGGAUCAGGUAGGAAUACCCGCUGAACUUAAGCAUAUCAAUAAGCGGAGGAAAAGAAACCAACAGGGAUUGCCCUAGUAACGGCGAGUGAAGCGGCAACAGCUCAAAUUUGAAAUCUGGCCUCGGCCCGAGUUGUAAUUUGCAGAGGAUGCUUUUGGCGCGGUGCCUUCCGAGUUCCCUGGAACGGGACG